rnacentral:pre_miRNA from 17 species
GCUGUGGGGCUGAGCCCUGGUUCCACGGUGACCGUGGCUUUAGAUUGUUACUGUUAAUCUAACCUUAGUAACAGUCUACAGCCAUGGUCGCUGGGGCCGGGAGUCACAUACAUCCCACCA